GGGUAUACAGAGGAUCCCUUGAGACCAAACAGCGAUGAAGGACGUGGCGUGACUGCGAUAAGCGUCGGCGAGGCGUCGAGCGGCCUGCGACCCGGCGAUGUCCGAAUGAGGAAACUCACUGGAAGUCAUGUUCCAGUAUCACGUGUAUGGGAAACUGUGCGCGUGGAGCAUACCUGGGGAAGUGAAACAUCUCAUUACCCAGAGGAAAAGAAAGCAAUAAUCCAUCCUUCGGGAUGGUGUGCGUAUUCCCUGAGUAGCGGCGAGCGAAACGGGAGAAGUCUAAACCAGUCGAUAAAAGUAUUUUCGGUAGCCGAAGGACCCCUGGAACGGGCGUGCCAAAGAGGGUAAUAGCCCCGUAGGCGAAACUGAAAAUCUACCUUCGAUUGUGUUCUAGAGUAGGGCCGUGCCAGCUGCACGGUUUGAAGGCGGGAGUACUGUCUCCUAAGACUAAAUAUGUUUGGCCAUCGAUAGCGAACAAGUACCGUGAGGGAAAGGUGAAAAGAACCCCGGAAGGGGAGUGAAAUAGACUGUGAAACUGUAUACCUACAACAAGUCGGAGCCCAAGAUUCGUUCUGGGUGACGGCGUGCCUUUUGCAAAAUGAGCCAACGACUUUUAGGGCAUUCCAAGUCUAAGCCGUGACAAAACGGCGGAGGCGUAGGGAAACCGAGUAUGAAUAGUGCGUCUAGGAAUGUUUUAAAGACCCGAAGCCAGGCGAUCCAUCCAUGAGCAGGGUGAGUGCUGGGUAACACCAGCAGGAGGCCCGAACCAGUUGAUCGUGCAAUAUCAUUGGAUGACUUGUGGAUAGUGGUGAAAAGUCAAUCGCGCCUGGGAAUAGCUGGUUCUCUCCGAAACAGCUUUGCGGCUGGCGUUGUGUGAAUCACUCCGGAGGUAGAGCACUGACUAACGGAAGGUGGCCAAUGGCCUACUUUUGUUUAUCAAACUCCGAAUACCGGAAGUGUAUGCACAGCAGUUAGACUACGGGGGCUAAGCUCCGUGGUCGUGAGGUUAAUAGGCCAGACCAUCGCUUAAGGUCCCAAAAUCUAUACUAAGUGGGAAAGGAGGUGGAAUUUCUCCGACAUCUGGGAGGUUGGCUUAGAAGCAGCCAUCCUUUAAAGAGUGCGUAAUAGCUCACCAGCCAAGAGAUUUUGCGCCGAAAAUGUAACGGGGCUAAGUAUAGUACCGAAGGCAUGGGUGCGUGUUGUGCUUCGGCAUAACAUGCGCGGUAGGAGAGCGUUCGCAUUGCGCUGAAGCCGGACCCGCGAGGGCCGGUCGAGCGAUGUGAAGUGAGAAUGUUGGUACGAGUAACCACAAGGGAAGUAAAAUCCUUCCCCGCCGAAAGUCCAAGGUUUCCAUGGCAAUGGCGAUCAUCCAUGGGUUAGUCGGUCCUAAGGUGAACCCGAACGGGGUAGCUGAUGGACAGCAGGUUAAUAUUCCUGCACCACUUGUGUAUGCGAAGGAGCGACGCAUGUUAGUAGUGUGUGCCUCUUAUCGGAUUGAGGUCCGGUGUAUAGGGAGGAAGCGUUGGAAAAUCCGCGCUUCUGUGCUUCGAGCACGACUCCGAGUGCAUCGGGGACGUUCCUGCUUGCAGGAGCAAACGCACAUGAGCAAUGGGCCUAGAAAAACUUCUAAGCAUAAUACACAGGUGACCGUACCGCAAAACCGAAACAGGUGGACAGGUCGAGUAGACCAAGGCGAACGAGUGAAAGCUGGAUAAGGAACUCGGCAAAAAAGCGGCCGUAACUUUGGGAUAAGGCCUGCCUGGUGCGUGCUUGCACGUGCUGGGCCGCAGCUAAAGAUUUCAAGCGACUGUUUAUCAAAAACACAGGUCCCUGCUAACUCGUAAGAGGAUGUAUAGGGGCUGACGCCUGACCAGUGCCGAAAGGUUAAGAAACGCCGGUGCAUUGUGAUUUAUCAUGGUGUGCUGGAGUUCGAAGCCCCGGUAAACGUCAGCGAUAACUAUAAGUUCCGACGCGCAUGAAAGGCGUAACGACUUGAAAACUGUCUCAUCCAGCUGCUCGGUGAAAAUCCAAUUGUCAGUGAAGAUGCUGACUACUCGCAGUUAGACGGAAAGACCCCAGGAGCUUCACUGUAAGCUGCUAUUGGGCCUCAUGUUUGCAUGCGUAGCAUAGUGGGGAGACUUUGAAGGUUCCAUUCUGGUGGAACUGGAGUCGCCAAUGAAAUACCCAUCUUGUGAUUGUGUUGUCCUAACCUCGUUCGUGUGAAAAGCACAACAGGAACAGUGGCAGCCUGGCAGUUUGAGUGGGGCGCUCUUCUCCUAAAGAGUAACGGAGAAGUCUCAAGGUCGGCUAGCUACGGAUGGAAAUCGUAGCGAUAGUGCAAAGGCAUAAGCCGGCUUUACUGCAAGACCUACAAGUCGCGCAGUUGCGAAAGCAGAGCUUAGUGAACCGAAGGUGCUCAAUAGAAUGGGCCCAAGACACCAAAUAAAAGUUACCCUGGGGAUAACAAAUGUUGUCCCGUUCCGAUAGAACAGGCUAGUCGCUCCUGAGAGUUCAUAUCGACGGAGCGGUUCGGCACCUCGAUGUCGGCUCACCGCAUCCCCCCGCUGAAGCAGGUGGGAAGGGUAAUGGCUGUUCGCCAAUUAAAGCGGUACGUGCAGACCGUCGCGAGACAGGUUGGUCCCUAUCUGCUGCGAGCGCCGAUACUUGAGAAGACUCGUCCCUAGUCGAGAGGACCGGGAUGAACAGACCUCUGGUGUACCUGCUGUCGUGCCAACGGCAUCGCAGGGUAGCUAUGUCUGGUAGGGAUAAGCGCUGAAAGCAUCUAAGCACGAAACCCGCUUCAAGAUUAGGUAUCACAGACCCCUGGGAGACUACCAGGUUGAUAGGGUGCAGGUGUACGCGCAGUAAUGCGUUUAGCCGAGCACUACUAAUGGUC
rnacentral:rRNA from 1 species